UCCACAUAAGAAACUCUGGCUGGCUCCGAACAUAUCUACUCCCAGUAUAGCGCUAGUGUUCGGCUUUCCACAUGAAAUGGGGUUAAAUACUCGGAUUCUUUGAAUUCUGUCAUGUGGCUCAAGCUCCAUGUCCCAAAUGGCCCCAGACAAAUUGGGCUACCCUUCAAUUGGAUCCCAUUAAGCAGAACAUAAGACGAUGAUUGGAUGAGGCUUUGGGAUGACAUGUUCUCCUCGAUUAGCUAAUUCCAUUCUCACUAACCAUCCAAAUCCGGUUAGUGUGGGCAGGGUUAAAGCUGCUCCUGCACUGAACAUUAUUCACUCAGCCAGCGAUCUAUUGCCCUUUUUAACCUCAAGCGCCAAGACUAAUUAGACAACUUAAAGCGGCUUCUUCAGAAUGGAGCUACAAAGACUACUUUAGCUAUUAAAAACCUUUCACUGAUUAAAACAGAUUUGGAGAUUUCUAUAGAAUAAGAAUCCUUUUCUAUAUAAUUUUAUUUGUAUUUACACAAAAUUCCCAUCACAGCUCUGCCCAGUGUGAGCCUGGGCACCAAUCAGGUGGUUGAUUAAACACACCUGUGUUAGUUUGCAGAGCCUAUGAAAUGGUGAUUUUAAAUCUAAAUUGCCAAACGAGCUUCCCCACAUAUUACUUAUAAGUGCAGAAGGUUAACUUUUUGUUAUUUGUUUAACACAAACUAAGCCAAAAUGAGAAAAGAAAGUCCUGCUUCCACAGGAAUCGCGAGGCUUUCAGGUGUGUGUUAACACAAUACUGGAGUUUUCCCAGGAGUGGAUGCCCCAGCAAAUCCAUCUGUCCGACUGAUAAAGCCUGGCUCCAACAGGAAAAUGUCUGGAAAAAGAAAAAAAUCAAGGUGCUGCAAUGGCUGAGUCAAAGUCCAGACCUCAGCCUGGUUGAAAUGCUGUGGUGGGACCUUAAAGAGACCUGUGCAUAAACCAAUACACAUAAAUAUCGUGAACUGAAGCAUCGCUGUAAAGAAGAGUGGGCCAAAGUUCCUCCGCAACCUUGUCAGAGACUGUUAAAGUCAUACAGAAAAUGAUUACUUCAAGCUAUUGCUGCUGAAUCCUGAGUGUACUUUUGACACUGCUUCUGCAUUUAGGUUUCAUUUUUAGUUUCAUGUGUUCUGGUUCACGUGGGGUUGUUCAACAGUUGAUCUGUCUGGUACAUAAAACCCGAUUCACUUUUUUCAUUACUGCAUAGCCAUUACUUUGUGUCAUCUGGUGCAUUAUUAUAAUUAGCUUGAUUAAAAUCUACAAUAUGAGAAGCUGACUUUACAUGAAACAUGCAAACUCAUAAGCUCCUAAAAAUAACAACUUGCAAAAAAGGCCACAAGGCUGAAAAUGUGUGACACUGGAGUUGCACGAUU